rnacentral:rRNA from 1 species
UACGUAGGGCGCAAGCGUUGUCCGGAAUUAUUGGGCGUAAAGAGCUCGUAGGCGGUCUGUUACGUCCGCUGUGAAAACCCAGGGCUUAACCCUGGGCUUGCAGUGGAUACGGGUAGACUAGAGGCAGGUAGGGGAGAUCGGAAUUCCUGGUGUAGCGGUGAAAUGCGCAGAUAUCAGGAGGAACACCGGUGGCGAAGGCGGAUCUCUGGGCCUUACCUGACGCUCAGGUGCGAAAGCUAGGGGAGCGAACAGG